rfam:Schistosoma mattheei strain Denwood, Zambia genome assembly, scaffold: SMTD_scaffold0007764
GUCCGUCUGACGAGUCCCAAAUAGGAUGAAACAUGAGUCCUGGAU